rnacentral:ncRNA from 2 species
UUCACUAUUUUGGGAGAAUCGGACUUACCGAUGCCGAAGGAGCAACCACCCCGGAAACUCUCAGGCAAAUGGACCAAUUUAGUGCA